rnacentral:rRNA from 1 species
AUGAACGCUGGCGGCGUGCCUAAUACAUGCAAGUCGAGCGAACAGAUAAGGAGCUUGCUCCUUUGACGUUAGCGGCGGACGGGUGAGUAACACGUGGGUAACCUACCUAUAAGACUGGGAUAACUUCGGGAAACCGGAGCUAAUACCGGAUAACAUUUGGAACCGCAUGGUUCUAAAGUGAAAGAUGGUUUUGCUAUCACUUAUAGAUGGACCCGCGCCGUAUUAGCUAGUUGGUAAGGUAACGGCUUACCAAGGCGACGAUACGUAGCCGACCUGAGAGGGUGAUCGGCCACACUGGAACUGAGACACGGUCCAGACUCCUACGGGAGGCAGCAGUAGGGAAUCUUCCGCAAUGGGCGAAAGCCUGACGGAGCAACGCCGCGUGAGUGAUGAAGGGUUUCGGCUCGUAAAACUCUGUUAUUAGAGAAGAACAAAUGUGUAAGUAACUGUGCACGUCUUGACGGUACCUAAUCAGAAAGCCACGGCAAACUACGUG